rnacentral:lncRNA from 1 species
CAUGAUUCAUCAUAGGCCUUAGAAAAUUAGCACUAACAUGCUUAUAAAUUCUCACUAACCACUAUAAUGACUUAGUGCACCACUAGGAAACAUUUAGAGAGGCUAUAAGGAAUCUAAAUGACUUCUAAAAAUCCCCCCAAUCCCAAAAACUAAAAUUACAAUAAAGAUAAAGAAAAUUGGACUUAAUUAUUUUCGAUUUAUUCCAAUAUUAUUAGACCACAAACCAACUCAUGGAUGCUUCUUAUCAUGUGAAUUGGGCUUCAACUUGGGCUCAAAGCAUCUUCAUCCAAAAUGUUUUAGUGCAUUUUUUAAGUUUUCUUCCACAUGUUUAGUGAACUCAUGAUCUCAUCAGAAAAAAUGUUGUACCCACAGAGAUUGUUUAAGGGAAUAUCAUUUCAUUCAACAUAUAAAAUAGUUUCUUAAUUAGCUUAUGAUCAACAAGAUAACCAAAUAACAUUGUAGGAUUUCAAAAGUUAACCGAAAAUUAAUUGUAACGGUUUCGAAAUCGAAGUUGGAAACAUGUUGGAAUAGUGAUUCAUUUAACUAUAAUCUAAUGUUUGUGACUGAUAAGUGGUGUCUUGACAUAUGUGAGCACAGCUAAACCUUGUGGUGUAUGUUUAUAACAUAAGACUAUGAAAUAACGGAUAAGUUGUUUCUAUGUCUAGGUUGGCUUAAUUCAUUUCACUUUAGUUAAAACUCGCUUUGUUCCUCACUAUGGCCUUAAUGCUUGUUGUUUCAAGUCUAUAAAUAAUAUUCAUGGGAAUAUAUGUGUAGGAAUAGAUAUACUCAUGUUUGGUACAAAGUUGACAUAAAAUUAUUCUUGGAUAUGAAGAUUUCUUGGAAUAAAAUAACUUCCAAUAACUUCUCUUAUUCCCAUUAUUUUAUUCCCAAGAAAAUGGGUGGGAAAGAAAAGUUCUCAUGAAAAUGGGAAUACGUUUUAAAUAACUGCUUGUAACUUCUCUUUUUCCCAUGUUUAUCAAUAAUUCCUAGGAAUGUGGUUAACAUAAACCAAACAUAAUUUUUUUUAAAUACCUGGGAAUUUUAUUCCCAUUAUUAUUUCCUGGGAAUAUUAUUCCUGGGAAUAAAAUUAACAACCUUGAAACAAACGUCAGUAAUGUGUCCAUCCUCUAAUUAACCAUAUUAGUUCUUAAUUUCCAUGUUUUUUUUUGUCAAGUAGCCUAGUGGCUAGAAAAUUCACCUUAAAGGUGAAUAAGUGGAGUGUCCCGGAUUCGAUCCCGAGCUCCUGCACAUAUAGUACGAUGUCCCUACCAACUGAGUUAAAAUUCACCUUAAUUUCCAUGUAUUACUAGAUGUUUCAUGAUAAUAAACUUGUUAUUUAGAUCUACAUCGUUCUAGUUUAAAUAUAUAUACCAAAAUGCUUAUAUGAAAAGUUAACAUAUAAAAUAUAAAUUAUUGUUGGCAUAUAACUAACGAAAUUAAAUUGUAACACAUAAUUAUAAAAUAUAUUUUAUUUAAUAUUUAAUAAAAAUUAUCACAUCAUCAAUGCAUAAAUAUUGCAUGAAUAAGGUGUCAUUUGUUAAUAAUAUAGGAUACAUGAUAGGAUAUGAUAUAUGGUAUAGAUAUAAAUUUCCCAUAUAUUUUGAAAAUUCAAUUUCUUUUAACAUUAAACUUCAUAUAUUUUUGAAAUAACAAUAACCUUCGUAGCAUGUCAUUGGUGCAGAAGCAAGUGGAAAUUUUUUAUGGCAUUCUUCGUCAGUAUUACACUCUCCUAUAAUACAAAAUAAGAAUAUAAAAAAUUAUUACUAAAAUGGAACAAUGACUUUGUGUAAAAUAAAGAAAUUUUUUUAUGAGAAAGAGCUUACUUUGACCAAAAACUACAACGAGAAAUAGAGAAAUAAAAAGGGUCAAAAUAUAAACAAACUUGAGAUUAUCAGACAUUUUUUUCAGCUUGCAUGUAACAAAUAUAAAAUGGUUUGAUCAUUUUAUAUAAUAAAAUCCUCAUGUAUGUUUA